rnacentral:rRNA from 1 species
GACGAACGCUGGCGGCGUGCCUAAUACAUGCAAGUUGAGCGCUGAAGGUUGGUACUUGUACCAACUGGAUGAGCAGCGAACGGGUGAGUAACGCGUGGGGAAUCUGCCUUUGAGCGGGGGACAACAUUUGGAAACGAAUGCUAAUACCGCAUAAAAACUUUAAACACAAGUUUUAAGUUUGAAAGAUGCAAUUGCAUCACUCAAAGAUGAUCCCGCGUUGUAUUAGCUAGUUGGUGAGGUAAAGGCUCACCAAGGCGAUGAUACAUAGCCGACCUGAGAGGGUGCUCGGCCACAUUGGGAAUGAGACAUGGCCCAAACUCCUACGGGAGGCAGCAGUAGGGAAUCUUCGGCAAUGGACGAAAGUCUGACCGAGCAACGCCGCGUGAGUGAAGAAGGUUUUCGGAUCGUAAAACUCUGUUGGUAGAGAAGAACGUUGGUGAGAGUGGAAAGCUCAUCAAGUGACGGUAACUACCCAGAAAGGGACGGCUAACUACGUG